CUAUUGCGAUGUGUCGGACCAUGGUUUGGCGAUGGUGAGUACCGAGGGUUUCCUUCGGUACUAUGAUCGUGCUCGAAUGUCUGGUAAGGGUUAUUGGCGGAGACUUAUGACGGGUGAGUGUUUGUUUUAAAACUAGAUUUUAUUCUUAUUUCCCUUUUUUGCUUGUGUAAGCGAUUUUUGUUGUAUUUAUAUAGGCGCUAGCUACUUGGAGGUACCUCAUGGAGCAAGAUGGGAAAGCGGAAGCUAGAAAAGAAGAGGAGCGGGCUCGAAGUCAGGCGCGUGAAGAUGAACUUCGAAGCCAGUUGGAGAUAGCGCAGUCCGAUCUCGCUCAAAGGACGGAGCAGCUUG
rnacentral:lncRNA from 1 species